GACGAACGCUGGCGGCGUGCUUAACACAUGCAAGUCGAACGGGUCUGCCCUGUUUUUUGCGGGGUGGGUCAGUGGCGAACGGGUGAGUAACACGUGAGUAACCUGCCCCUCACUUCUGGAUAACCGCUUGAAAGGGUGGCUAAUACGGGGUGUUCUGGCUGUGCCGCAUGGUGUGGCUGGGAAAGAUUCACUUUUGUGGUGUUUUGGUGGGGGAUGGGCUCGCGGCCUAUCAGCUUGUUGGUGGGGUGAUGGCCUGCCAAGGCUUUGACGGGUAGCCGGCCUGGGAGGGUGGGCGGUCACACUGGGACUGGGAUACGGCCCAGACUCCUGCGGGAGGCAGCAGUGGGGGGUAUUGCACAAUGGGCGGAAGCCUGAUGCAGCGACGUCGCGUGAGGGAUGGAGGCCUUCGGGUUGUGAACCUCUUUCGCCGGUGAAGAAGGUCCUGCUCUUUGUGGUGGGGUUGACGGUAGCCGGGUUAUGAAGCGCCGGCUAACUACGUG
rnacentral:rRNA from 1 species